GGCCUUAUAGUGUAGUUGGUCAUCACAUGGGACUUUGAUAUAAAAGUGAUCCCAAGACCCCAGUUCGAAUCUGGGUAGGGCCU